rnacentral:rRNA from 1 species
UACGUAGGGUGCGAGCGUUGUCCGGAAUUAUUGGGCGUAAAGAGCUCGUAGGCGGUUUGUCGCGUCUGCCGUGAAAGUCCGGGGCUCAACUCCGGAUCUGCGGUGGGUACGGGCAGACUAGAGUAAUGUAGGGGAGACUGGAAUUCCUGGUGUAGCGGUGAAAUGCGCAGAUAUCAGGAGGAACACCGAUGGCGAAGGCAGGUCUCUGGGCAUUAACUGACGCUGAGGAGCGAAAGCAUGGGGAGCGAACAGG